UAGCCACACGAGUCUCUAUGGUAGAGUAGGCGGAGCUAGGGGGAAGAUGGCGGCGGCCGCAGCUACCUCUGCACCGCAGGCUUCGGGGAGUCCUCGGCCCCCAGUGUGUUUGCUGGUGUUGGGAAUGGCGGGAUCUGGGAAAACCACCUUUGUCCAGAGGCUCACGGGACACCUGCAUAGCCAAGGCUCUCCACCUUAUGUGAUCAAUCUGGACCCAGCUGUGCAUGAAGUCCCCUUUCCUGCCAAUAUUGAUAUUCGUGACACUGUGAAGUAUAAAGAAGUAAUGAAACAGUAUGGACUUGGGCCCAAUGGUGGCAUAGUGACCUCACUCAAUCUCUUUGCUACCAGGUUUGAUCAGGUGAUGAAAUUUAUUGAGAAAGCCCAGAACAUGUCUAAAUAUGUCUUGAUUGACACACCUGGACAGAUUGAGGUGUUUACCUGGUCAGCUUCUGGGACAAUCAUCACUGAGGCCCUGGCAUCUUCAUUUCCAACGAUUGUCAUUUAUGUAAUGGAUACAUCAAGAAGUACCAGCCCAGUGACCUUCAUGUCCAAUAUGCUCUAUGCCUGCAGCAUCUUGUAUAAAACCAAGCUUCCUUUCAUUGUGGUCAUGAACAAAACUGACAUCAUUGAUCACAGCUUUGCAGUGGAAUGGAUGCAAGAUUUUGAGGCUUUCCAAGAUGCCUUGAAUCAGGAGACUACAUAUGUCAGUAACCUGACUCGUUCAAUGAGCCUGGUUUUAGAUGAGUUUUACAGCUCACUUAGGGUGGUGGGUGUGUCUGCUGUUCUGGGUACAGGCUUAGAUGAACUCUUUGUGCAAGUCACCAGUGCUGCAGAAGAAUAUGAGAGAGAGUAUCGUCCUGAAUAUGAACGUCUGAAGAAAUCACUGGCCAGUGCACAGAGCCAGCAGCAGAAAGAACAACUGGAACGCCUUCAGAAAGAUAUGGGUUCUGUGGCCUUGGGCACAGGGACUGCUGCAGAAACCUUAUCUCCUGUGCGGGACCCCUCUGAUUUGAUCCUGUCUCGGGGAACCUUGGAUGAAGAGGAUGAGGAAGCAGAUAGUGAUACUGAUGAUAUUGAUCACAGAGUUACAGAGGAAAGCCAUGAAGAGCCAGCAUUCCAGAAUUUUAUGCAAGAAUCAAUGUCACAGUACUGGAAGAGAAACAACAAGUAGUUUCGAGAAGUCAAAAAUUUUGGAACCCUAUCCUGACCUCGGAUUGGGGGCUACUAUAAAGGACAAUUUUCUUCAGGGUAGCAGAAUUUCUCUUUCUGGGGAAAUUUGACUCAGAUGAAGCCAGGGAUAGAAGACCUUUGGACUCGGCGAGUAGAUGCCAACUCUGUUUUUGGAUGCUGGUAUCCCUUCAAGCCUAAAACUUCAAGUUUUAUUAUUUUUACUUUUGCUGCUGAUGGAUGGAACAGAGAACGUACUUACUGUUCACUUCAAAUCUCUGUUAUUAGGCUGGAUCUGUACUGUCUGCUCUCCCAGCAUCUGGGUUUCCCUCCUUUUAGCAGAAAGGGAGAGAGGAAAUAAGAGCUUGUCCAGAGUGGCAGUGGAGUCUUCUUGGCAACCAGUCAACGUUGGUGUGAUAUCAGAGUGGGUAGCUCAUUGAUAGGACCAGGUUCAUUGAAGAAGGUGAGCAAAACGUAUGGUUAAUGAAUAAGAAUCCUGCUUUGGAUGGUGACUCAAAGAGUUUUUAAUUGCAACUUUGUUGUAAGCCUGUCAUAAUUUCUACCUAGAAAAUUACAUAGGUGUAAAUAGGUUCACUUCUGUUUAGUAGAAAGAUUAAAACCACAUGUCCAAACUGGUUUCAGUAAGAAGGUGAUGUUUACUAAAGUUUCUCAUGUACAUACCUUGUAAGGAGGUUUAGAGCUGGGCCCUUGUCUUGCCUAUGGGUUUCAGCCUUGGACAAGUUCACUAUGGAUUCAGUGAGACCAAAGAAAUGAUAGUAGAAUGUUCUUGGGGUGAAAGAGUUAUACCCAACUUUAUUUCCCUGGUGGCAGGUCACUAGAAUCCCAUCUACUCAGAGCAAGUCUGUAUGAAGCAAGCUGGUCUCUUCCUCUGGGCCCCUAUACCCCCACAGCUGUCUCAGUCUCUGUCCUUGGCGCUGCUACCACUCCAGUCUUGUCUCUGCUCUCCUGCAGCCUUGCAGCCGUGCCACCAUGUUGCCCAGAGCACUGGGCGGAGCUCUUUAUAUAGAGUCAAUAACAACAUAUUGCUGCAUGUGUGUAGUGAGCUGCUAGCUGACCAGGGCCAGGUGAGAAUCCUGGCCAUAGGAACCUUCACUUUACCCACAGUGCUUUUUGUAUUGUACUUUGAACUUAACACAAAGUAUCCUUGGUGGUUUACUCAGAGGCCCUGGAUUUGGGGCAGGCGCACAGUCCAUACAUUACAGCCAUGGUAAUGGUUUGCCGCACCUCCACGUUCUUCACAGUAUCUUAAAGACAGUACAUUUCUCAAGGAAUUUUAUCCCUGCCUAAACUAUGUUACAGUUCAGUAGGAAUCAGGACCCGAAGCAACAGAUCACCUGGAAAAUUGCUAAACAGGACACUCAAGAGCUAAUCAGAAACUAGGAAUCAGGCCCAGCAAUCUGUUUUAAUAAACCCUUUAGGAGAUUCUGAUAGAGGGUAAACUUGAGAACUGCUCUAACUCGAAGAGCCUGUUGACAGUUCUAGGUGAGGUGACUCAGGCAUCCUCAGCACAGCCUGCUUUAUCAGAGUACCCUCAUCUUGAUCGUCUGGUGCCUAUUCUCCAAUUUAAGCAUUCUAAAAAUAGAAGUAUUUUACCAUGAGGUAUUAAUUUCAACAUUCUAUAACUAUUGUUCUAAAAAUUUGACCCUGUUCCAGAGGAAACCAUUUGCAAAGCAAAAGUCCGAACAUGCUGGGUUUUUCCCCUCAGUGCCUUCAAGUACUUCUUCCGCAAAGACAACUUACCUGGCCUGCCCUGUAAGCUCCAUAACAGCAGGGACAAAGUCUUACUCAUCUUUGUACUCUUUGCACAGGACCUAGCACAUAGUAGGUAAUCAGUAAAUGUUUGCUCACUGAAUGAAUUAAAUACCAGAUAGCUAGCUACUUAUGGAAACUGACUGCCUGAUGUCUACUUUCAUAAAAAUGGCAAAAUGAAGCUAAGCCUGGAACAGGAAAGGUUUAGAUAAGUUUGGUAAGGAUGUAAAAUUAGCACAUUUAGAAACAAUCUGGUAACAGUUUAAGUUGUAACCUCAUUUUAUUGCUAUUGCAUUUGUAUUUUCAAUGCCUAAGACAUUUAAGGCACUCAGUAAUGUACUAAUUAAAGCUGUGCCUUGA